GAACAGAAGAGGACGUCAUAACUCCACCUUACAUCUGAUUGUUGUGGCAGGAGCAGGGAAAUUAACAGUUGCUACAACAAUCACUGUUGUUCUCCUGGUUAUCAUUUCCCUCUGUCUCUUCCUGUGGAUCAGGAAAAAGAGGGCUUCCAAGGAAUCGUCUGAGCCUGAAGAGAGACCAGACGACAGGGAACAG